CGGGGCGUGGCGCAGUCUGGUAGCGCACUGGUCUGGGGGGCCAGGGGCCGCUGGUUCAAAUCCAGUCGCCCCGACCA
rnacentral:tRNA from 1 species